GAUGAACGCUAGCGGCAGGCCUAAUACAUGCAGGUCGAACGGGUGGUCGCAAGACCACUAGUGGCGCACGGGUGCGUAACGCGUAACCAACCUGCCCCGAUCUGGGGGAUAGCCCGCCGAAAGGCGGAUUAAUACCGCAUAUACCCGCAGCCUGGCAUCAGGCAACGGGGAAAGAUUUAUUGGAUCGGGAUGGGGUUGCGUGACAUUAGCUAGUUGGCGGGGUAAGGGCCCACCAAGGCGACGAUGUCUAGGGGACCUGAGAGGGUGAUCCCCCACACUGGCACUGAGAUACGGGCCAGACUCCUACGGGAGGCAGCAGUAGGGAAUAUUAGGCAAUGGGCGAGAGCCUGACCCAGCCAUGCCGCGUGCCGGAUGAAGGCCUUCUGGGUUGUAAACGGCUUUUCUCAGGGAAGAAAAAGACCUUGCGAGGUACACUGACGGUACCUGAGGAAUAAGCACCGGCUAACUCCGUG
rnacentral:rRNA from 1 species